GACGUAGGGGGCAAGCGUUGUCCGGAAUCAUUGGGCGUAAAGCGCUCGUAGGUGGAUCGGUAAGUCUGCAACGAAAGACCCGGGCUCAACUCGGGGAACGGUGUGGAUACUACCGAUCUUGAGGCAAUCAGAGGAUGAUGGAAUUUCCGGUGUAGCGGUGAAAUGCGUAGAUAUCGGAAGGAACACCUGUGGCGAAAGCGGCUCACUGGACCAUAACUGACGCUGAGGCACGAAAGCUAGGGGAGCAAACAGG
rnacentral:rRNA from 1 species